AAUCCAAACUGGCUUAUCGCGUUCUGCACGCUUGUGCGGGAUGAGGAAAGUCCGGGCAGCGCAGAGCACCCUACUUCCUAACGGGAAGGCAGCCGGUUGGGAACGACCGGCUGACAGACAGGGCAACAGAAAAUAUACCGCCCUUUUUUAGUGAUGAGUGAUGAACGAUAAGUGAUGAGUGGCUGACGCAAUAUACUCAUCACUUAUCGUUCAUCACUCAUCACUAAAAAAGGGUAAGGGCGAACCGGUGGGGUAAGAGCCUACCGCUCAAUGGGCGACCAGUGGGGCACGGCAACCCUUAGGGGCUGAAAGACCAAAUAAGCAUCGGACGUGCGGCUGCUCGUCGCCAGCGGCCUGUAAGGGCCAACACCGAUGCGGGUAGGUCGAACGAGGUGUUCGGGUGACCGGCAUCCCAGAUAAAUGAUAAGCCAUCCGGUUGGGCCGCACAGGCAACGGAGGACAGAACCCGGCUUAUAGGUUUGGGUUGGCU
rnacentral:RNase_P_RNA from 1 species